AACGAACGCUGGCGGCGUGCCUAACACAUGCAAGUCGUGCGAGAAAGUUCCUUCGGGAGCGAGUAAAGCGGCGCACGGGUGAGUAACACGUAGGUAGCCCUGCCCCCCAGUCUGGAACAACUAGAGGAAACUCUAGCUAAUGCCGGAUGAGACCACGAUCCCUUCGGGGGUUGCGGCCAAAGAUGGCCUCUACUUGUAAGCUAUCGCUGAGGGAUGGGCCUGCGGGCCAUUAGCUUGUUGGUGAGGUAACGGCUCACCAAGGCUGUGAUGGCUAGCUGGUCUGAGAGGAUGACCAGCCACACUGGGACUGAGACACGGCCCAGACUCCUACGGGAGGCAGCAGUGGGAAUAUUGCGCAAUGGGGGAAACCCUGACGCAGCAACGCCGCGUGAGUGAGGAAGGACUUCGGUCUGUAAAGCUCUGUUAAUGUGGAAAAAUGGUUAGCGGUCUAAUAGGCCGUUGAUUUGAUGGUACACAUAGAGGAAGCACCGGCUAACUCCGUG
rnacentral:rRNA from 1 species